rnacentral:rRNA from 1 species
UACGUAGGGACCGAGCGUUGUCCGGAAUCAUUGGGCGUAAAGCGCGUGUAGGCGGCCGUGCAAGUCGGGUGUGAAAGCCCUCGGCUCAACCGAGGAAGUGCGCCCGAAACUGCAUGGCUUGAGUACCGGAGAGGAUGGCGGAAUUCCCCAAGUAGAGGUGAAAUUCGUAGAUAUGGGGAGGAACACCGGUGGCGAAGGCGGCCAUCUGGACGGAUACUGACGCUGAGACGCGAAAGCGUGGGGAGCAAACAGG